rnacentral:lncRNA from 1 species
AAGACGAAAAAGAAUCGAUCUAGCAGAUCAGGGAAGACGAAAAAGAAUCGAUCUAGCAAAUCAGGGAAGACGAAAAAGAAUCGAUCUAGUAGAAAUCCCAAUCGAUCUAGCACGAUCUGGAGAUUUCGAUUUGAAAAUCGAUCGCGAUCUGCAAAUGUGUCUUCCGUCAGAGUCAAGAAUCACUCGUCGUCUGAAAAUCGAUCGAUUUAGCAGAAAUCGCGAAUCCGUAUUCCGUCUGCAACAUCUGGAAUCAGAAUCGGAAGAAACCGUCGGGGAAAUCGCGUCUUCCGUCUUCUAGCAGAAAUCGCGAUUCCGUAUUCCGUCUGAAAGAACUGGAAUCGGAAGAAACAGCCGGGAAAAAAAACGCGUUGUCGUCGGAAGUGAAUGGAGGUGGAUCGAAGACAGGAGGUGGCGUCGAUUUCACCUUCACAGAAGAAAAGAUCUGAUACCAUCUUGGAAUCUCAAAUGCUCUGUAAAGAUA